AAUUUUAAAUACAAAUAUUUUUUCAACUUCAAAAAUUCUUCUUCCUGAAGGACCUUUUAAAAACCAGACUACUCCUCACUCAUUCACCGACGACGUUCAGUUCAGUUCAGCCUGCUUCGGUUCUGCCCAGGACAUGGACAUCCUUUUGGGUGGGAGCUGGAUCAUGGGACGUGUGCUGGGCGAGGGUAGGCCACCACCCACUUUUGCCUGGUGCUACUGCCUAUUGCUGCUGUCGUCGCUGUUUGUUCGCGCAACCAAAUUUAGACGUAAUUAAAUGUGAAUUGUUUAUUUAAGGCGCACGCUCGUCUACCACCCGCA